GACGAACGCUGGCGGCGUGCUUAACACAUGCAAGUCGAACGGAAAGGCCCCUUUGGGGGUACUCGAGUGGCGAACGGGUGAGUAACACGUGAGUAACCUGCCCUUGACUUCGGGAUAACUUCAGGAAACUGGGGCUAAUACCGGAUAGGAAUCCUUGCUGCAGGGUGGGGGUUGGAAAGCUUCGGCGGUUUUGGAUGGACUCGCGGCUUAUCAGCUUGUUGGUGGGGUAGUGGCUUACCAAGGCUUUGACGGGUAGCCGGCCUGAGAGGGCGACCGGCCACAUUGGGACUGAGAUACGGCCCAGACUCCUACGGGAGGCAGCAGUGGGGAAUAUUGCACAAUGGGCGGAAGCCUGAUGCAGCAACGCCGCGUGCGGGAUGACGGCCUUCGGGUUGUAAACCGCUUUCAGCAGGGGCGAAGCUUGUGGUGACGGUACCUGCAGAAGAAGCACCGGCUAACUACGUG
rnacentral:rRNA from 1 species